UACGAAGGGGGCUAGCGUUGCUCGGAUUCAUUGGGCGUAAAGGGCGCGUAGGCUGCGGGGCAAGUCGGGUGUGAAAUCUCAGAGCUCAACUCUGAAACUGCACUCGAUACUGCUUUGCUCGAGGACUGGAGAGGAGAUUGGAAUUCACGGUGUAGCAGUGAAAUGCGUAGAUAUCGUGAGGAAGACCAGUGGCGAAGGCGGAUCUCUGGACAGUUCCUGACGCUGGAGGC
rnacentral:rRNA from 1 species